rnacentral:piRNA from 1 species
UCUUUGGCUUCACAAUGUAGGCAUGUCUGA